AAGAGGACGAUCUGAGUCUUUGUAGGAGAAAUGAGUAAACUCCUAGGAACAUCGUUGUUGAUUCUGUGGCUCCGGUCUGACUGGGUGAAGAGUCAACAGAAGAAUGGUGACCAGCGGCAGGUUAAGCAAAAUCCUCCGUCCCUGAGUGUGACAGAAGGAGGGGUUUCUGUUCUGAACUGUGACUAUGAUGACAUUAUGUUUAAUUACUUCCAUUGGUACAGAGUCUACCCAGCAAAAAGUCCCACAUUCCUGAUAUCAAUAGGUUCCGUUUUGGAGAAAAAUGAGGAUGGAAGGUUCACAGUCUUCCGCAGCAGAAGUGCCAAACACCUCUCUCUGCACAUCUCGGCCUCCCAGCCUGGAGACUCAGCCUUGUACCUCUGCGCAGCCCACACACGGUGCUCCCCAGACACCUGCAGCCUGUACGCAAACGUGCUCUGGGGACUCAGACUCAGAGGCACACACGCUUGUUCCCCAUUAUACACGGCAGCGUGA